UAUCUUUUUACGCCUCGGAUUUCCUUUUGUCUUUUUGAGAUUUUGCUUCGUGCAUUUAACCAGUGCUUGCUCAAAACGACGCUGUUUAGCCUUUGUUUUCUUCCCCUUCACAGCAUCUUUCCUUCUGUAUUUUUUUUUUUUUUUUUUAAUUUCCUUCUUAUCUCUGAGAGAUUCAGAGAUAAGAUGAAAUCCGGUUAAUUAUUUGCUUGAGAUGUAAGGUCUGCGCGUUAUCAUGAGUGGGGGGAGUGAGGACAGGUGAGAGGGUGAGUAGAGUGAUGCGGUGAUAAACAGAGGCAGAGUAGGGCUGAUGAACGGAAUUUCGGGGAGGAGAAUGCCGCCACCUACUGCGAGAGCGAUUGCUAGGGCUUUCUCUGCCGUGGAAGUGACGGAAAGUAGGAAGCUACCUGUGGCUGUGUGGAGUCAAGCGGCGCUAAAUUUCGGUGAGGAGUUAGGGUUCAUGCGGAGAUUAAGAACGGCAUUAGUGGUGAUUCAACAGCUGGGUUUAAUCUGAGAAGGAUUCCAUUUUUGGUGAUGAACAAAAUAGGGAUUGAGCACAUGGACUGUGAUGAUUCGAAAUUGAAAAGGCAGCCUACAAGAGCUAUGAAGACCAUCUAUGACUUUUUGAAGUAAAAAUGAUGGAAAUUGAUUGGUGUUGGUGUCGAAGUUUCGCGAUUGUGAUUGAUAAUUGUAGCAAUGGAAUAAUUUUUCAGGAGUGUAUUCAUGCUUUAAGAAUUGUGUAUCUUUGAAUAUGCAAGUGAAAUAGGGUAGAUAGGCGCCUAGAUUAAAUUCCGUUUUCAUCCAUGCUUGAUUUCCCUGAUUUAUUGUUAUUCUUUUUUUCUAUACCCUUGAUGAUCUUGCAUUGCAAAGAGACAGAAUAUUGAGGCUGUUGUUGUGAAGGCUGUUGGAGAAAGCUACGAGUCAUCCACCUCCUUCAGCAUUUUUAAGUCCGUAAAGAAUGUUCUGAGUUUCUCCCUCUACCGCUCUGUGAAUUUGUUCUCUGUGUAAAGUUCACGCCUCUGUUUCAGUCCAGACGCUCAAGCCCGAGGACAAGUCUGAUUGCUUUGGUGUUUUUUUGCCAAACAUAACAUCUAUAUGUGGUUCAUACCCUUUAUUCUAUAAUAUCAAAAUCAUGUGUGUUUCUUUAAUUUUAUAGAUUUUAUCGGGCUUUAAUGGAUGUUGGUUUCUUCUGAUGUUUGAUAUAGUGGCAAUUUUCUAUUUUCCUAAGUAGUUAGGCUCUGAUCUACUUAGUAUGCCUUAGUUGGCUUAUUUUUUUUUAAAAGAAAAAAAAAAAAAACCUACUAAAACAUAUGUUGCAUUUUCUUAGAAGGUUUCUUUGAUUUGUUUCUUCCUAAAUAUGUAAAUGACAAUUUGUUUAGAUAUAGCAUCAAGAUUAGGAAGAAGAUAAAAGACACUCCAACCAAUUAAUACAAUCAUUGAAAACACAAUCAGUGAGAAUUCAUAGCUAUCAAACUACAUUCCUGUAGAUUGCUGUAUAUGUAAUGUUUACAUCGACCCACCCCGAAGAAUUAAAUAUCUGGGUUUUAAUUUUGUAAAUUAAAGGAAGAAUAUUCAAAUGCUGUAUUUGAAUCGUACAGCAUGGUACAUAAUUCAAUUUAAUAAACAAUGAUCAUUGAAAUUGCUUAAGCUGCAAUUAUGUGUACCCCAUAUGAUUAUGCUUUGGAUGUAAGCUCUCAAUGCUCUUAUGUGGCUGGAUAUUUUCCAAGAACCAUAACUCAAGUCAAUGAGGAAGAACAGGAGGUGCAAUUGUGUGGGUGUUGCAUGAUUUGUUGUGUCUGCAUUUCUGUCCAAUUAUGUGGAAGUAAACUUCUGUUGUGUCAUUGCAGUCAUUACAUAGGAUCCAAACCUGCAAAUUGCCCAUGCUUUUUAGACGUCCUUCAGUGAAAUUACUUCAAAAGACUAAUAAUGCGUGUCUUGUUUCAAACAUAGGAGACAGAUUGUUAUUUACAUGUUUAACUUUCAUCUAAUGUAAGUUUUCCUUUUUUUUCCACCCUCUUUGGUAAGUCAUAUGAUGUGUUAUAAAUUCAAUAUCACCAAAGUCUUCACAUGAAAUCUUGUCAGCACAGCUUAUAUCGCAUCCAAAGAAACACAAUAGUUUCCAUGCAUUUCAGUUGAGGAUGAUUAGUCUGGCUUAAACUCUGCUGUGUUUUCGUUAAUCGUUUCAAAAUCACUGCAUAAUUUAAAACUUCCAUUACAUUUUUAUUUAUUUAUUUAUUUACUUAUUUAUUACUUAAAGGUUUGCAAGAAACUGAAAUGGGGUUUCUAAAGUAUUUUUUUCCUUUAAUUUGUGGCAGGUACCCCUACAAGGAGCCAACUGCUCAGACGAACAGAGACACAAUUUAAACUUACAUGUUUAAACACUUUUUCGAAUUUGGUGAAGGAUGGAAUUUUACGGUUUACAUGUAAGGAAGGGAAGUCACUCUUCUUUCCUCUUUAGUCUUCAUGUUUUUUUUUUUUUUCCCCUUUUCUUUCUUUCUUUUUCCAUCCAAGCAAACAUAGGAUUUAGCUACACUCUUUGGAAAUGAGCAUGGUGUGGCUUUCUAUUUAUGCACCAGUUUUUUUAUUUUAAUUUAAUCCACCUGCUGAGGCUGGUUUGCAGUGGCUUAA